GCAAACACCAUGAAGGCAAGGAAAAAACAAAUUGUAGGUUAUCUGGAAGACAGCAUCCAUAAGAAACAACUGAAUCUACAUCAACCAAUGGAACAAAGAAGCUACCCACUUCUGUUUCCUGCCCAGUAAAGCUUACCCAAGGGUGACGACCAGCAGCAAGGAUAACCUAUAACAUGAAUGGACAGUACUGUGUAGUAACUAAUUACAAUAUAUUUAUAUAUAAAGGCCUCAGUGGUAGUGUCACUAC